CCCUUAGAUGUUCUGGGCUGCACGCGCGCUACACUGAUGCGCUCAACGAGUUUUAACCUUGCCUGGAAAGGUUGGGUAAUCUUUUUAAAACGCAUCGUGAUGGGGAUAGAUUAUUGCAAUUAUUAAUCUUCAACGAGGAAUUCCUAGUAAGCGCGAGUCAUCAGCUCGUGCUGAUUACGUCCCUGCCCUUUGUACACACCGCCCGUCGCUCCUACCGAUUGAACGUUUUAGUGAGGCAUUUGGACCGACGCAUCUCAGUUUAACCGCUGGUUUGUGUUGGAAAGACUUCCAAACUUGAGCGUUUAGAGGAAGUAAAAGUCGUAACA
rnacentral:rRNA from 1 species